rnacentral:rRNA from 1 species
AAGCGUAACAAGGUCUCCGUAGGUGAACCUGCGGAGGGAUCAUUACACAAAUAUGAAGGCGGGCUGGAACCUCUCGGGGUUACAGCCUUGCUGAAUUAUUCACCCUUGUCUUUUGCGUACUUCUUGUUUCCUUGGUGGGUUCGCCCACCACUAGGACAAACAUAAACCUUUUGUAAUUGCAAUCAGCGUCAGUAACAAAUUAAUAAUUACAACUUUCAACAACGGAUCUCUUGGUUCUGGCAUCGAUGAAGAACGCAGCGAAAUGCGAUAAGUAGUGUGAAUUGCAGAAUUCAGUGAAUCAUCGAAUCUUUGAACGCACAUUGCGCCCUUUGGUAUUCCAAAGGGCAUGCCUGUUCGAGCGUCAUUUGUACCCUCAAGCUUUGCUUGGUGUUGGGCGUCUUGUCUCUAGCUUUGCUGGAGACUCGCCUUAAAGUAAUUGGCAGCCGGCCUACUGGUUUCGGAGCGCAGCACAAGUCGCACUCUCUAUCAGCAAAGGUCUAGCAUCCAUUAAGCCUUUUUUCAACUUUGACCUCGAUCAGUAGCU